ensembl:lncRNA
GAAAGAAAGCAGGCAUCGAGCCUCAUGGAAGGUGGGGUCCAGCCCGGCUGAACGUCCUAAAUGAAGAAAGUUCUCUCGGCCGUUUAAAAAUAGAUAAGCAAAAAAGGAGGAGAAGGAGAAAAGGAGAGAAGGAAGAGGAGAAGGAGAAAAAGAGAGAAAAGGGCACAAGGCAUAUGGGAUCUUAACUGCCCAGCCAGGGACUGAACCCUCAUCUCUUGCUCUGGAAGACAAAGUCCUAAUCACUGUUCCGCCAGGGAAGUCCCUACUACUUCGUUUGCAUAAAAGCAGAAAUACUAUAGCUUCUUCUGGAAGCCAAGGAGGAGCCGGAAAAUUACCUCCAAUCACGAUUCGGAAGCACAACCUCAGGCCUGAAGGCCAGAUGCGGGAUCUCCAGAGGCCAGCGCUGACCCCAGGAUGGCAGGCCGACAUCCAGUCUCAUGGCCUUCCUCGUGGAGAUAUGGCUGAACUAAAGAGCCUCUUGAUGAAAGUGAAAGAGAAGAGUGAAAAAGUUGGCUUAAAACUCAACAUUCCGAAAACUAAGAUCAUGGCAUCCAGUCCCAUCACUUCAUGGAAAUAUUCGUACUUCAAUUUUUAUCCUGCCCACAUCAAAACAGCAACAAUGAACACAUUGAAGUUAACUGUCACCAUAUCAGCAUGGAAUCAUUUAUCAUGUUAACGAUUGCCUUGGUCAGUUCACCCUCAUGACUUCCCAAGACAGAAUUGAGCUGGAUGAAUAGCCCCCCAACAUCUGGCAGCCCUUGAUGCUCCAGUUUGGGGGAUCAAUUCACUCUAACUUGAUCAGCAUCGUGGCCAAUACGGCCCCACCCGGUGAGAGAUACUUCAGUACAUGAUACACUCCUUGUCAUAUUUUGCAAUGUGAGUUUACUGUUGAAAUACCCUUUCCAGAGUAUGAGGCAUUGAUUCUGACAUUAAAAAGACCCUGUGAGU